UACGUAGGGUGCAAGCGUUGUCCGGAAUUAUUGGGCGUAAAGAGCUCGUAGGCGGUCUGUCGCGUCUGCUGUGAAAACCUGGGGCUUAACCCCGGGCCUGCAGUGGGUACGGGCAGACUAGAGUGUGGUAGGGGAGACUGGAAUUCCUGGUGUAGCGGUGAAAUGCGCAGAUAUCAGGAGGAACACCGGUGGCGAAGGCGGGUCUCUGGGCCGAUACUGACGCUGAGGAGCGAAAGCGUGGGGAGCAAACAGG
rnacentral:rRNA from 1 species